ensembl:lncRNA
UUUGACAUGCAGGUUUUGUCAGGACAACAUCGCCGGUCAGCUACCAGCAAUGUGCUCAUUGAAGUACGUCGGUACUCAGAAGAAAAAGUGAUUCCCAGAGACAGGGAUGCACUGGUUUGGUGGAAAGAACAUGACCAAACCUUCCCAGCCCUGAGCAAACUAGCAGUGAGAUACCUGGGAAUUACUGCCACUUCUGUACCAGCAGAGAGUCUUUUCAAAGGCAGGAGAGGUUUUUAGUGAUGGAAACACCUUUUUCAAACACUCCAGGACUCCUGGCUCUCAAAGGGGAUUUACAAGGACUGGCUGGUUAAGGAAAUCCACACAGUAAAUUUGCCAGUGUCAAAAAGGCAGUGUCAAACUAUUUUAAUUCUUCCGGAGUUCUUCCAACAAUGGACAGAGUAAAAUUGAACCAGAAAACUUCCAGUGUUGGUGAAAAUAAUCGGAGUUAACAGAGGUUUUACUCUGUCAGUGUUAUUGACUCUCUAAGGCCCUGAUUCAACACUGAUUAGAGCAAGAUACCUUCCAGAGUAUCACAAAAAAUACUCUGGAAAGCCCCGCCCACCAACUUUCCCGGUCAAACUGAGAAUGUGGAUUCUGGCAUCGCCAUCUUCCUCGCAUCGAAAUACUGUGGUUGUUCUUUAAUGUACUGUGGUGCUCUGGUGAUACCAUCAUGUUGAUCAAAACAUUCCUGUCAUCCAGCACCAACCAAGAUCUUUGCCACUGUGAUAAGAUGUGAGCUUUACAUGUUUUAGGUUUACUUUUGAUGCCAAUAUUUCAUGUUUACUUGGAAUAAAUAUGUAUUACAGUAUGGAUACAAUUGUCUGUGUGUUUUUCCCCCUGCAUAGAUAUGCAACACUGGUAGGAGUUGGUUAAAAAUCAACACUCUUUGGAGUGAUUUCAUAAUCAACAUAGUGUAAAGCAGGUUUAACACUGGAAAGGUUAUUUCUUUUAUAACUCUUUAGUGUUACAUGUGAAUAACACUAUGGGUGUUACUUUUUACAUAGUGUAAAACUUGACACUUCUUAGAGUUAAUAUUAUUACACUACACUGCACCUAGUGUACAAUUUUAACUCUUACCAGAGUAAAAUUGACUCUGGAAAUUUAACUCUGUGUUCAGUGUACAUUUAACACUCUGUAGAUAGGGACCAUAUGUCACUGAGGUAGUGUUAAAAUUGACUCUUUAAGUGUUGUAUUAACACUGGCGAUUUUACUGUGCAGGACAUUCACUUCGCCCGAUGUAAGGCCUGUUCUAAAUCUAUCAAACUUCAGACGAUGGGCGAGGCUGCCCUGACCAGCCACGCAGGGGGAGCCGGCCACAAAGCGGCGGUGCGCAAGCUGAGGGAAGGUAACGUCACUGCGCUCACACCUCUGACUGAUGCUUAGCGAUCGCUGUUUGUUC